AAUCAACGCUGGCGGCGUGCCUAACACAUGCAAGUCGAACGAGAAAGUGGAGCAAUCCAUGAGUACAGUGGCGAACGGGUGAGUAACACGUGACUAACCUACCUUCCAGUGGGGGAUAACCACGGGAAACCGGGGCUAAGACCGCAUAACCUCGUGAGGUGAGAUUCCUUGCGAGCAAAGGGGUAGGACGCGGGAUGGGGGGGUCGCGGCCGAUUAGCUAGUUGGCGGGGUAACGGCCCACCAAGGCGAUGAUCGGUAGCCGGCCUGAGAGGGCGCACGGCCACACUGGAACUGAAACACGGUCCAGACUCCUACGGGAGGCAGCAGUGGGGAAUUUUGCACAAUGGGGGAAACCCUGAUGCAGCAACGCCGCGUGGAGGAUGAAGUCCCUUGGGACGUAAACUCCUUUCGACCGGGACGAUAAUGACGGUACCGGUGGAAGAAGCCCCGGCUAACUCCGUGCCAGCCGCCGCUGUAA
rnacentral:rRNA from 1 species